rnacentral:lncRNA from 1 species
AUGGUUGCCAUGUCUAACUAGACAUUUUAGAGAGCCCUACUUGGAGGUAAAGUCACACGUUACCAGGGAAAUUGAGAUUUCCCUCUCUAGCUCUUAGACCUGUUAAUAAAAGAAUUCAAGGACAGACAAUCUGAGAAGAAAACUCAAGGACAGUUUAUAUUAGAGUUUAAAAGAAAACCAACCCCCGGGCAGACAAGCUACAAAUCUCGGCAGCUGCCUGGAGGAGGAGAUUGGAAAAGGAGAGAGAGAGAGAAAGCCACCAUGUUGUGCUAACGGUGACUUGAAGGUCAACCACAUGGUGAACAAGCAGCACUCUGGAGGGAGGACUUAAAAAAACAGUGGAAAAGCCCAAAGUUUCAGAGGGAGCAUGUGUAGAAUAGCUCAGGUUUUGGAUAGGUUGCAAUGUUGGGUUUCUGCUCGGAGGUAGAUUAUAUAUUUGUUUUGGGUAGGAAGAGAUAGUCUUUCCUUGACAGGCGUUCAGUGCUACCGCUCCCCAGGUCAGCAAUUUGCACCCCAAGUUCUGGGACCCCCUAGCCUCUGUGCUCUUGCUCUGGGUUCCCUGGGUCAGCCCUGUCCCAAGAUGUGGGACUCCAAGCUUGCAUGCCCUUGGCUUGAGUAGGUUCUGACCUCUGACCUUCUCCCUGCGUUGGUAGCAUGCAGCUGUCAGUAGUUUCUAGAAAAUGCACUCUUUGAGUUUCUCUAUUGGGAAAGGAAAGCUGAUGUGUUAAUGUGUGAGUGUCUGUGAAUGAUAGCCAUGCUCUCGGCAGCUUUUUUUGUUUGUUUAGAUAGGGUCUUAUACUUGCACCUCAAGCUGCUCCGGACCUCAUUGUGUAGCCCAAGCAAGCUGAUCUUAAACUCCAGAUACUCUAUCUGGCCUGAUGCCUCCCGGCAUCAGCCACCAUGCCCUUGAAGCUUCUCUGUACUCAUGAGAGGCAGCCUACAGAGUGAAACUCCGUGAAUUUCUGAGCUGUGCUUUGGACUUGGGCAUUGCACUUGGAGGGUAGAGCAGGAGGGCUCCUCCUCACUUCAGAAACUCUGGGUGUGGGUCUGAAGGGCACCAAGGGGAAAGGCUCUGGAGAGCAAACUGCUUCUGCCCAGGUGUGCAGUUUAUUCAAAGGGAUAAGUGGGGCUACCGUCAUGCUGGUGCCAUCACUAUGCUCCAGGACAAUCCAGGGCGGCCACUGUGGCUCAGGGAUUUGUACAGACCCCUGUUGC